rnacentral:rRNA from 1 species
GAUGAACGCUGGCGGCGUGCCUAAUACAUGCAAGUCGAACGCAUUGUGGUUGAAAUGAUAUGAAGAACUUGUUCAGAUUUGAUUUUCAACAUUGCAAUGAGUGGCGAACGGGUGAGUAACACGUGGGAAACCUACCUCUUAGCAGGGGAUAACAUUUGGAAACAAAUGCUAAUACCGUAUAAUAAUUAAAACCGCAAUGGUUUUAGUUUAAAAGAUGGUCUUGCUAGCACUAAGAGAUGGUCCCGCGGUGUAUUAGUUAGUUGGUGAGGUAAUGGCUCACCAAGACAAUGAUACAUAGCCGAGUUGAGAGACUGACCGGCCACAAUGGGACUGAGACACGGCCCAUACUCCUACGGGAGGCAGCAGUAGGGAAUCUUCCACAAUGGACGAAAGUCUGAUGGAGCAACGCCGCGUGUGUGAUGAAGGUUUCGGCUCGUAAAACACUGUUGUAAGAGAAGAAUGACAUUGAGAGUAACUGUUCAAUG